rnacentral:rRNA from 1 species
CUGUGACUCCUACGGGAGGCAGCAGUGGGGAAUAUUGCACAAUGGGCGCAAGCCUGAUGCAGCAACGCCGUGUGAGUGAAGAAGGUUUUCGGAUCGUAAAACUCUGUCCUAAGGGAAGAAACAAAUGACGGUACCUUAGGAGGAAGCCCCGGCUAACUACGUGCCAGCAGCCGCGGUAAUACGUAGGGGGCAAGCGUUAUCCGGAAUCACUGGGCGUAAAGGGUGCGUAGGCGGCUUAGCAAGCCAGGGGUGAAAGGCAUUGGCUCAACCAAUGUAAGCCUUUGGAACUGUUAAGCUUGAGUGCAGGAGAGGUAAGUGGAAUUCCUAGUGUAGAGGUGAAAUUCGUAGAUAUUAGGAGGAACACCAGUGGCGAAGGCGACUUACUGGACUGUAACUGACGCUGAUGCACGAAAGCGUGGGUAGCGAACAGGAUUAGAUACCCUGUAG